UAUCCUCGUAGUCUUAUCCAUUUCGAUGGCGAUGGCGAUGGCGAUGGCGACGGCGACGGCGACGGGUUUCUCUGGCGACGGCGGCGGCGACGGGUUGAGGGCUGCGGGGAUGCCGCGGCGAGGAGGGGCAGAUGCUGCGGAGGCGACACAGUGAGGUGGGGCAGUGGCGGUUGUGCGGCAAGGCAGGGCAGGUCCGGCCGAGACGGCGCGCGGCGAGGCGGGGGAGUGGCGUCGCGGGGGAGGAUGGAGGACGCCAGAGUAGAGGAAGACAGCUCCCGCCGUCGCUGCUGUCCGCGCACACCCGCGUGCUCGCCUCCGUCCGCGCCCACGCCAGAGCGCUGCUUUCUGUGCACGCCCGCGUGCUCGCCCUUCAGCUUGCCUCUGCCCGCACCCCACCACACGCGCGCCGGCCAGCCCAGCCACCGGGAACGCCCCCUUCCUCCUACCCCCGAUCUAGAUUUCCCAAAACGCCUCCCCAGACACCCGUAGGGCGCCCCGUCGAUCCAGCUUCGGCUCCACAGCUGGCCAGCGCCGCACUACUGCCAAGGACGGUGCGGACACGCCGGCGGCGAGCACUUACCAGGUGACCAACACCUCCUUCUCUCUUCCUCUCAGCCUGCUGCUCACUCUGUACAUACGCACUCGAUGUGUCUGUGUUCAGAAUUUCGGAUUGGGCUGUGUACUUGCUCUUGCAACUUUUACUUGGGGAAUUCUGAAAUUCCACUCGCACGUGUGCUGGAAUCGAGUCACUAAAUGUCGUGACUUUGUACAGGCGCCAAGGGGAGUUCUGGUACCUUAGGAUUUGUGGCAAUUUCUUUGCGAGUUGCUAACCAGACUUGGCGAAUUGGGGGCUUUAUUCAUGUGUUUGUUCGAGCUGGCCUGGUUGUGCCGGUUCUGCCUGAACAAUUAAAUAUUUGAAUGAACCAUGCAUAUCUGUUCGUAAUCGUUUUGCUCAUGUCGGUAUUUCUUGAAUCAAUUUCGUCCGCGCAAGUUCAUGUGUUUGGGUGUUUUGAUGCUAAUCAUGUGUACAAUUGUUUGAAAAUUCCUGUGACUGAUCGUUGUGGAUUGGUAUUGGUUUAAGCCUACAGCUAUUACUGGUAUUUCUCAAUGUGCAAGCUGAAAUCACAUUGUGAAGUGGUCAAGCGCCCUCUUGCCGGUGGACUGCUGGUCAUCAAUGCAGCACGUCGGGCUCCCGCAGCCACAACAGAGGAGCGGGAACUUGCAGCAGCAUCUACGACACCCUCUCCACGAGCUGAAGGUAGGCCAGGUCAUAGAUGAGGACCCGGCGACGACCACCGAGGUUUUGACAACAGGCUCAUCUGCCUCGGAUCCGUCUCCCUGUUGUUCCUGUGCUUCUCCCUCUAUAGACACACAUUGUCGAGCCGGUGAUUGGAGAAGGAUGGGGAGGCGAUGGAUAUGGAUACGGAGUCAGUGGAUGAAGAUGAUGUCAUGGCUGGGCUGAUUUCUAUUCAUCGUGUACCGCCACCUGCUCGCGUUUCUGUCUCUCGCCUAGAACCAUCAGCUAGAGGACAUGUAUUGUGCUGCUACCGGGGCCUUGACCUCAUAUUUAUCGGGCAUCUAAUUUGUUGCAAUUUGUCUCAACUAAACCCCACAUCUCACAUCUGUCUUUAGGUUUGCCCCCGUACUCCAACUGCAAGUGAGCAGCUUACUUGUGCAGAAGAAAAAGAAAGAGAAACCAUCUCCCAAGGGACACUCCCAGUUCAAGAUGAGCAUGAAGCUGAUAUACUAAACUACCAUCUCAAGAUACUCCCUCUGUUAACAUACUGAAUGUUGUUAAUGAUAAGGCAGUAAUUGAAGUUCCUCCUUGACGAACUAGCAAGAUAGUAGCACAGUUUCUCCAGUGUAAUCAAGCCCAACAACGGCUGAUGCACAAAAGGAUGAGUUUGUCUUGAACUUGUUAUAUACCACUGAUUUAUCAUCAUGUUUUUCAUGUUGAUUUUUUUAUCAAAGUACUUCUAUUUUUUCAUUCCAAAUUAUCACUGGACAGAUUCUGUAGGCUUAACAAGGAUUAUUAUGAUAAGCUUUUAUGGAUUAUAUACACUGUAGAGGUUAUUCCAAAUGAUUUACACGGAAGAAAUUCAUAGAACAACAGUCCAAUUUAAAGGCAAUGUGUAGUGCAAAGGAAACUUAAAAUGCAUCAUUGCCCUGUUCUUUUAUAUAUGUGUCUGGACUCUACUCAAGCAGCCAAUCCUGACGAGUUAUCGACACGGCAAUAGAUGUACUCAUGUACGCGGCCCCAGGGAUGGUAUUGCUCUCUCCAAUGCCCAGACAGGCAAAGGGCAUUUUAAGGUCAAGUACCUUUAUUUAGGUCGUGGUCUGAGCAUACACUGGAUGAUGCACCCUUACAAAAAUCUGGUUACUCUUCCACUUUCAGAUUCAUUAGCAAACUGUUCAUGAAAAUAUGGAUAUUAUAUAUGUAAAGAUACACUUUUUACUUGACAAACGAAAUCAUAUAGGUUCAGACUAAAUUUCUGAUGACCUUUUUCCAUGAUGCCCUGAAUUUUGGUGAUGAGAAUGUCUGGUCAUACUAAUGUGUCGAGCAAAGAAAGUUACCUUUUAAUGUUUAAGUGUAUUUCCCCAUAAUAAAAACAUGUUCAUUCAUGAGUUAUUUCUUGAUUUAGUGUUUCAAAAUCUAAGUUCGCUGAGUAGCCAGAAAUGAUUGAAGCACUAGCUAGCUUCCAUACUCACUACUCCAGUGGUAUGUUUUUAUGAUGUUCGAUUCAUAUUUAUAUUGAUAUGCUGAAUUCAUCCACCAGAACCUAAAUAUGACAUGUCCCUAGAUCUUUAUUUGAACUGAUUUCUUAUAUGAGUACAUGUUACAAUUACUUAAUUAUCUAGCUUCUAGCUACACUUCCAUUACUAUCUUUUGUAGGCAGCUAGAAAAUGAACAUCCACGAUGAUGAGAUCAUAGAAGAAAUGAACCUGCUCAUCUUGACGAGUAAUCGGCACGGCAAUAGCUAUAACCGUGGCAGCGUCCCCCAGGUAGGAUAUUGCUCUCUCCAACGCCCAUAGUGAUGAAGGUGCAUUUUAACACCAAGUAGUUUUAUUCACAUCCUGGUUAAUCAAUACAGUAACAUUCAAUCAUGUAAAGUUCUAGGAAAUUGGGUUGACAGCUUUGUUUAACACUUAAAUUGUUUAGUCUGAUAAAAUCACGCCUCACGCACAAGUUAACUCUUUUGCCUCUUGAAUUUAUAAUCCUGUCAGUCUGUUUCAGGUGAAGUGGUGCUUGCUUUAUUGCUGGGAAUAAUUAAGCUUAUUGCAUCUACAAGUGGGACAACAUACAAGUUUAUGCUUAAACUUGACCAUUUUGUUUGUAUUUUUCCUUCCGUUGCAAUGCACGGGCAUUUUUGCUAUAAUAAUAGAGAGCUAUUGCUUCUUACCACCAUAAUUUCGUCCGUUUUCGGUCCAUCCGUCGUCCGUCCACUUAUUAUUUUCUAUAUCCGAGAUGGUACUAAUCUAUCUGAGCCACUUUCGUCCGUACGUAAACAAAAGCUUCAUUUGUUUGUUCCCUGCCGUGCAGGAUGUGUAUUAGGCCUGCCCUACACUCUUUUGGGCCUCAGCCACGGCCAAUCUAGCACUCUUCCAAUCUCAAAAAUACUAACACGUCAAGCUUCACCAAGGCCCAAGUGGGCUCCUAAUCAGCCUUUUCAUGUUAAUUUAUUCAUUAAAAAGAUAGUCCCACAUCGCUUUGUAACAAUAAAUCCCACCAGUUUAAAUAUGUGAGCAAGUUGCCUAAGAACAAGCCUUCUUGGGAGUUAAAUAAUUGGAGGAUGAGGCAUGGAUCUGUUGGAAAAACAAGAGAGGGUGGGAAAUUAAUAAGUGUGAAGGGGAAGAGGCGCAUGCAUCUGACAGAGAAAAGAAAGAGCAAGCUUUCUUGCAAUGGAAGGAGUAAGGAAGGACAUGCAAGAUUAUACAUGAAGUUAAAGGACAGUGCCACUGAUCGUGCCACCUCACCUAUAUACCAAGAGGUUUGGGUAAUUCAUUCAUCUUUAAUCUAAUUGGUACUUCAAUAAAGUACAAAAUAGUCCAAUACUCUCUCCAUGAACCAACACCCCAGUUCCUACAUUUUUUUAACGGCUUACGGAUUGACACUAAUCAUGUGCCCGUUUUCCAUGCCGAAGUCACAUGUAAGAAGGCCUCAAGUCCCUCUACUGAAAUCUAAGCUCAAUCACAGGUUUUCCCUUUCCUUCAAGUUGUCAUCUUAUUUCAGGAUUGGCAUCACUAAUAAUGAGGAGGGUUUUUUCCAUUCAAUCAAAUUAUAAUGCCGGCCGGGGAGGUCCUCCAUGAGCGCUACUGAGCCGACAUCGACUACUGCGACAAGAACGGGGUGAGAUGAUACAACCACCUUGUAAAAAGUGCAGUUACUAAAUUAUUUAUGCCAACAAAAACACUGCAGCUGUUAAGCAAGACAGGAAAAGGUUAUCUGCAUCCUUCAGCGCAAUUGGUUACUGCAAGAAGUGCAGUGUUUGUUUGAUGAGAUAGAAAUCUGAAAUUACAUAUGGUUCUGCAGAUGCAGUAGCAACUUAUAUUUCAGUUGUGCAUAUGAUAGCAUGAUCAACUCCCCCACCCCCAAGCUGAUUUGAUUCUAUUUGGAUCAAUGGACUCACAAAAAGGGCAUCUUCUAAAAUUGUUACGAUGCAACCAUUUUUUCAGCUGGGCUUUGCAGUUAUCUCAUUUUCUAUCUUUUCUUGGUUAGUUCUGGUACCCUCCUUCAAAGACACCGGCUGAGAAGGCAGCAUGGAAGUUUGCAGAGGAAAAUGGAUUGGAUGUGGUUGUGGUCAAUCCAGGGACUGUUUUGGCCCCGAUGAUUCCGCCAAGGAUCAAUGCUAGCAUGGCCAUGUUUCUUCGCUUAAUCUUGACAAUGCUCUGGUCAUAGUUUAAGAUAUUUUUCAUAAUUUUCCAGAUAAAGAAAUUUCUAUAGUACUACUCUUUAAUCA